rnacentral:rRNA from 1 species
UACAGAGGUCUCAAGCGUUGUUCGGAUUCAUUGGGCGUAAAGGGUGCGUAGGCGGCGCGGUAAGUCGGGUGUGAAAUCUUGGAGCUUAACUCCGAAACUGCAUUCGAUACUGCCGUGCUUGAGGACUGGAGAGGAGACUGGAAUUUACGGUGUAGCGGUGAAAUGCGUAGAUAUUGGGAGGAACACCGGUGGCGAAGGCGGCUACCUGGACCGGUACUGACGCUGAGGCGCGAAAGCCAGGGGAGCAAACAGG